AGGGCGCAUGGUGGAUGCCUUGGCACUAGGAGCCGAUGAAGGACGUGACUAACUGCGAUAAGCUUCGGGGAGUUGUAAGUAAACUGUGAUCCGGAGAUUUCCGAAUGGGGAAACCCAGCAGGAGUAAAGACCUGUUAUCACUGAGUGAAUACAUAGCUCAGUUGAAGGUAGACGUGGGGAACUGAAACAUCUAAGUACCCAUAGGAAGAGAAAGAAAAUUCGAUUCCCUGAGUAGCGGCGAGCGAAAAGGGAACAGCCCAAACCAAGAAGCUUGCUUCUUGGGGUUGUAGGACUGGACAUUUGAGUUACCAAGAAACGAAGUAGUUGAAUGAUUUGGGAAGAUCAGCCAGAGAAGGUGAUAGCCCUGUAAGCGAAACUUCGUUUCCUCAGCCCAGUAUCCUGAGUACGGCGGAACACGUGAAACUCCGUCGGAAUCCGGGAGGACCAUCUCCCAAGGCUAAAUACUCCCUAGUGACCGAUAGUGAACCAGUACCGUGAGGGAAAGGUGAAAAGCACCCCGGGAGGGGAGUGAAAUAGUUCCUGAAACCAUGUGCCUACAAGUAGUCAGAGCCCGUUAAUGGGUGAUGGCGUGCCUUUUGUAGAAUGAACCGGCGAGUUACGUUAGCGUGCGAGGUUAAGGCGCAAAGGCCGGAGCCGUAGCGAAAGCGAGUCUGAAUAGGGCGAAUGAGUACGUUGACGUAGACCCGAAACCAGGUGACCUACCCAUGUCCAGGUUGAAGGUGCGGUAAGACGCACUGGAGGACCGAACCCGUGUAUGUUGAAAAAUGCUGGGAUGAGGUGUGGGUAGAGGUGAAAUUCCAAACGAACUUGGAGAUAGCUGGUUCUCUCCGAAAUAGCUUUAGGGCUAGCCUCGGAGUUAAGGAUCGUGGAGGUAGAGCACUGUUUGGACUAGGGGCCCGUCUUGGGUUACUGAAUUCAGAUAAACUCCGAAUGCCACAGAUCUAUAUCCGGGAGUCAGACUGCGAGUGAUAAGAUCCGUAGUCGAAAGGGAAACAGCCCAGACCACCGAUUAAGGUCCCUAAAUAUGUGUUAAGUGGAAAAGGAUGUGGAAUUGCACAGACAACUAGGAUGUUGGCUUAGAAGCAGCCACCAUUUAAAGAGUGCGUAAUAGCUCACUAGUCGAGUGAUCCUGCGCCGAAAAUGUAACGGGGCUAAACACAUUACCGAAAUCGUGGAUGCAACUAUGUUGCAUGGUAGGAGAGCGUUCUAAGGGCGAUGAAGCUAGACCGUAAGGACUGGUGGAGCGCUUAGAAGUGAGAAUGCCGGUAUGAGUAGCGAAAGAUCAGUGAGAAUCUGGUCCACCGUAUGACUAAGGUUUCCUGGGGAAGGCUCGUCCUCCCAGGGUUAGUCGGGACCUAAGCCGAGGCCGAGAGGCGUAGGCGAUGGAUAACAGGUUGAGAUUCCUGUACUGGUUUGAUUUGUUUGAACGAUGGAGGGACGCAGGAGGCUAGAGAUGCGUGCUGUUGGAUAUGCACGUCCAAGCAACGAGUCUGAUGAUGAGUCAAAUGCUUAUCGUCUUAAGGACAAGUUGUGACGGGGAGCGAAAUUAAAGUAGCGAAGUGAUCGAUGUCACACUGCCGAGAAAAGCUUCUAGUUAGAAUCAGACCACCCGUACCGCAAACCGACACAGGUAGUCGAGGCGAGUAGCCUAAGGUGAGCGAGAGAACUCUCGUUAAGGAACUCGGCAAAAUGACCCCGUAACUUCGGGAGAAGGGGUGCUGCACAAUGUGCAGCCGCAGUGAAUAGGCCCAGGCGACUGUUUAUCAAAAACACAGGUUUCUGCAAAAUCGUAAGAUGAAGUAUAGGGGCUGACGCCUGCCCGGUGCUGGAAGGUUAAGAGGAUGGGUUAGCGUAAGCGAAGCUCAGAAUUGAAGCCCCAGUAAACGGCGGCCGUAACUAUAACGGUCCUAAGGUAGCGAAAUUCCUUGUCGGGUAAGUUCCGACCCGCACGAAAGGCGUAACGAUCUGGGCACUGUCUCAACGAGAGACUCGGUGAAAUUAUAAUACCCGUGAAGAUGCGGGUUACCCGCGACAGGACGGAAAGACCCCAUGGAGCUUUACUGUAGCUUGAUAUUGGGUGUUUGUACAACUUGUACAGGAUAGGUAGGAGCCGUAGAAGUCGGAACGCUAGUUUCGAUCGAGGCGCUGGUGGGAUACUACCCUCGUUGUAUGAACACUCUAACCCUCGCCGCUCAUCGCGGCGGGAGACAGUGUCAGGUGGGCAGUUUGACUGGGGCGGUCGCCUCCUAAAAGGUAACGGAGGC
rnacentral:rRNA from 1 species